rnacentral:rRNA from 1 species
AUACGUAGGGUGCAAGCGUUAAUCGGAAUUACUGGGCGUAAAGCGUGCGCAGGCGGUUCGGCAAGAAGGGUGUGAAAUCCCGGGGCUUAACCUCGGAACUGCAUUCUUAACUGCCGGGCUAGAGUAUGUCAGAGGGGGGUAGAAUUCCGCGUGUAGCAGUGAAAUGCGUAGAGAUGCGGAGGAAUACCGAUGGCGAAGGCAGCCCCCUGGGAUAAUACUGACGCUCAUGCACGAAAGCGUGGGGAGCAAACAGGAUUAGAUACCCUGGUAGUCCACGCCCUAAACGAUGUCAACUAGCUGUUGGGGCCUUCGGGCCUUAGUAGCGCAGCUAACGCGUGAAGUUGACCGCCUGGGGAGUACGGUCGCAAGAUUAAA